rnacentral:rRNA from 1 species
CCCUACGGGACGCAGCAGUAGGGAAUCUUCCACAGUGGACGAAAGUCUGAUGGAGCAACGCCGCGUGAGUGAAGAAGGGUUUCGGCUCGUAAAGCUCUGUUGGUAGUGAAGAAAGAUAGAGGUAGUAACUGGCCUUUAUUUGACGGUAAUUACUUAGAAAGUCACGGCUAACUACGUGCCAGCAGCCGCGGUAAUACGUAGGUGGCAAGCGUUGUCCGGAUUUAUUGGGCGUAAAGCGAGUGCAGGCGGUUCAAUAAAGCUUGUGUUGAAGCCUUUGGGCCAACC